rnacentral:rRNA from 1 species
UUUCCGUAGGUGAACCUGCGGAAGGAUCAUUGUCGAAACCUGCAAAAGCAGACCGCGAACACGUUCAACCACUCUGGGAUCGCGGCGGGAGAAAUCUCACGCUGCAUUCCAUUCUCGCACGUGCGCGCUUUGUGGGCUAACGAACCCGGGCGCGGAAUGCGCCAAGGAAAACUCACAGAAGCGUCCGCUCCCAUCGUCCCGUUCGCGGUGAGCGAGGGGAGAUGUCUCUCAAUGUCAAAACGACUCUCGGCAACGGAUAUCUCGGCUCUCGCAUCGAUGAAGAACGUAGCGAAAUGCGAUACUUGGUGUGAAUUGCAGAAUCCCGUGAACCAUCGAGUCUUUGAACGCAAGUUGCGCCCGAAGCCAUUCGGCCAAGGGCACGUCUGCCUGGGCGUCACGCAUCGCGUCGCUCCCCCUCCCGUCCCCGGACACUGGCCUCCCGUGCGCAACGACGUGCGGCCGGUCCAAAUACGAUCCCGCGGCGACUCACGUCACGACCAGUGGUGGUUGAACACUCAACUCUCGUGCUGUCGUGCCGGGUUUCGUAUGUCGGGCAUUGUCGCAUACCCAAUGGUGCGAACCAUUCGCGCUUCCGACCGCGACCCCAGGUCAGGCGGGAUUACCCGCUGAGUUUAA